rnacentral:rRNA from 1 species
AACGAACGCUGGCGGCAUGCCUAACACAUGCAAGUCGAACGAGACCUUCGGGUCUAGUGGCUCACGGGUGUGUAACGCGUGGGAAGCUGCCCUUAGGCUCGGAAUAACUCUCCUACAGGGGUGCUAAUACCGGAAAAUGUCUUCGGACAAAAGAUUUAACGCCUUUGGAUGGGCCGGCGUUGGAUAAGCUAGUUGGUAGGGUAAAAGCCUACCAAGGCGACGAUCCAUAGCUGGGCAGUGAGAAUGAUCAGCGACACUGGGACUAGGACACGGCGCAGACUCCUACGGGAUGCAGCAAUGCGGAAUAUUGGACAAUCGGCGAAGGGCAGAAGCAGCAAUGGUGCGAGAGUGAUGAAGGCCGUAAAGUUGUACAGCACGUUUACACGGCAUGAUAAUGACAGUACCGAAAGAAUAAGCAGCGGCUAACUCCGUG